GACGAACGCUGGCGGCGUGCUUAACACAUGCAAGUCGAACGGAAAGGCCCUGCUUUUGUGGGGUGCUCGAGUGGCGAACGGGUGAGUAACACGUGAGUAACCUGCCCUUGACUUUGGGAUAACUUCAGGAAACUGGGGCUAAUACCGGAUAGGAGCUCCUGCUGCAUGGUGGGGGUUGGAAAGUUUCGGCGGUUGGGGAUGGACUCGCGGCUUAUCAGCUUGUUGGUGGGGUAGUGGCUUACCAAGGCUUUGACGGGUAGCCGGCCUGAGAGGGUGACCGGCCACACUGGGACUGAGAUACGGACCAGACUCCUACGGGAGGCAGCAGUGGGGAAUAUUGCACAAUGGGCGGAAGCCUGAUGCAGCAACGCCGCGUGCGGGAUGACGGCCUUCGGGUUGUAAACCGCUUUCGCCUGUGACGAAGCGUGAGUGACGGUAAUGGGUAAAGAAGCACCGGCUAACUACGUG
rnacentral:rRNA from 1 species